AAGAGAAGAAAAGAGAGAAAUGUUAGGGUUUGGAGGAGGAAGAGGAAAUUGGAGAAGAAGAGCAUCAUCUUGAUCAACCCAAGCUUGCUAGAACACUAUAGAGUAACUCAAUCAUCAUCUCUAAGGUAAGGAGUAGUGAGCUUAUCAUCCAAAUAGAAAAUAUGGGGUUUUAUGUGGCCAGCGUAAUGGUCGUUAGAAGGAUAUUGUGACGGUUUUGAUGUUGCUGUGAUUGGAUUCCUUGCUUUGACAACAUGUUGUUUGUGGUUCUUGAUUCGAGUGUUGAAUUGUUUGUGAUUAUUGAACAUGUAUCAAUUCUUUGCAAAAUGUUAGGGUUAGGUUUAGAAGAAUGAUAAAUAACAUUGUGUGUUGUAUUGUUGUUGAUGGUUUGGGGUUGAUGUAUGUUGUGAAAAAUAUGUUAUUGUGUUGAUGAAUUAAAGUAUGAGUAAUUUCACAAAUUGUGAAUUCAGGAAGUGUUGGAAAUUAAUUGAAUGAUGUUUAAAAUGAUGAAAUAAAAGUUAAAUUGUGGAUUAGAAUGACUUUGUAAUACUGAAAAUAUUAUAGUUCGUUGAAAUCUGAGAAUGAGACUUUUUACGGAAUCGAAAUCGGAGGCCCGGAAGGUAUUUAACGGUCAAAAACGCAUUUUCUUUGUUUCCUGCUAAAUUCACGGCGCCAGCUGAGUUGAAAACAGAUUUUUUUUUUGUAAACUUCAAACAGUCAUAACUUUUGAACCGUAACUCCGUUUUGGUCCCCGUUUGAAGCGUUGCGAAGCUUAUGAAAUUUUCUACAUGUUGUUGAUGUUUAUAGGCCAUUAUAAGGGCUUAUUUUAAUAAGUGAUUAUUUUGGAAAAGUGAUUAAUAAUUGAUAUAGUAGGAAGCCUAUUUGAUUAAUGAGGAAUACCACUUAACUAUAGUGUGUAGGUGUGCGAUGUAAAUAAACAUAGCAUGAGGUUGAAUUACCUAAGAGAUUGUAUGAUGAAACAAUUGAUUGUGAUGAAUAUUCUCAUUUGUUUUAUAUAUAAACAUAUGUAUGAAUGUUGGUGAAGAUGAUGUUGUGUGAAUGCUUUUAUGCAUGUGAAUGGCGACGUGGCCUAAAUGGCAAUAGCGACGUGGGCUUCGGCCAUUGUGAUGAGUUAUGUUGAUGCGAUGAUGAUUUUGGUGUAUGUGUAUCAUUUAUCAUGGAGUCACAUACAUUUGCAUAAGCGACGUGGCCUUUUGGCAAUAGCGACGUGGCCUUUUGGCAAAAGCGAAGUGGGCAUAAAGCCUUGGCCUUGAUGGCAAAGCGACGAGUCGGUACCGCAUAGCAUUUGCAUAGUUGAGUCACAUAUGUUGGUUAUGUUUAUUUCCGCAUUUUGUGAUAAUUGUUGUUAUGUGACGGUUUAUGAUGUGCGGUGAUAUUUUGCGAUGAUGCGAUGAAUCGUAAUGUUUUAUGAUGGAUUGAUGAAAUGUUAAAGUGAUGAGAUGCUAUGAUGUAACAUUGAUGUUGUGGAUGAUUAUUGACUUUGUUUAUGAUUAAAUACAUAAGCAUUCAAGUGAAGGAUUGUGCGAUGUGGUAACAAUAUUUCUAACUUUCCGAAUUUACUUAUAUAUUGCUUAUCAUUAUCUUGAUUAUAUGAUUUGAGUAUCUCACCCUUUUGUUGUUGGCCGUUACCUUUAUAUUGGUAACGUGCAGGUGCUCCGCGUUGAGAGGAGGAUAGUGGUAGCACACUUUUGGCGUCAUUGCUCUGAUUAGGAUUGUAACACUCAGGGGUUAAUGAAUGCUUUUCAUGAUUUUGAUAGUAACAAUGCCCUUUUGUAUAUCAUUGUAUGUGAUAGUUGUGAUAGGCAUUUGUUUGCUUGUUUUCUUUGAAUGUGUAAAUGUACGACUCGACUUAAUUAUCUAAAUGAUUUCCGUUGCGAUUUUUUUUGUGUAUUGCUGCUAUAUGGACUAGGUGAAUACAUAUACAGUGUUGUUUAUUAUUUAACAAGGACUAAGUGGGUCCUUG
rnacentral:lncRNA from 1 species